GCUCCCAUAGUGUAGUGGUUUAUCACGUUCGCUUUACACGCGAAAGGCCCUCGGUUCGAGCCCGAGUGGGAGCA
rnacentral:tRNA from 1 species